rnacentral:piRNA from 1 species
CUACUCAGGAGGUUGAGGCAGGAGAAUUG